AAUAGAUACCCGGGUAGUCCACGCCGUAAACGAUGGGUACUAGGUGUAGGAGGGUCCAACCUUCUGUGCCGCCGUUAACACAAUAAGUACCCCGCCUGGGGAGUACGGUCGCAAGAUUAAAACUCAAAGGAAUUGACGGGGGGCCCGCACAAGCAGCGGAGCAUGUGGUUUAAUUCGAAGCAACGCGAAGAACCUUACCUAGACUUGACAUCUCCUGAAUUACUCUUAACAGAGGAAGCCCUUCGGGGCAGGAAGACAGGUGGUGCAUGGUUGUCGUCAGCUCGUGUCGUGAGAUGUUGAGUUAAGUCCCGCAACGAGCGCAACCCUUAUCAUUAGUUGCUACCAUUAAGUUGAGCACUCUAGUGAGACUGCCCGGGUUAACCGGGAGGAAGGUGGGGAUGACGUCAAAUCAUCAUGCCCCUUAUGUCUAGGGCUACACACGUGCUACAAUGGUAGGUACAACAAGAUGCAAGACCGCGAGGUGGAGCUAAACUGUAAAACCUAUCCCAGUUCGGAUUGUAGGCUGAAACUCGCCUACAUGAAGCCGGAGUUG
rnacentral:rRNA from 1 species